CACAUGCAAGUCGAGGGGCAGCAUGCCUCUUAGCUUGCUAAGGCCGAUGGCGACCGGCGCACGGGUGAGUAACGCGUAUCCAACCUGCCUUACACUCUUGGACAGCCUUCUGAAAGGGAGAUUAAUACAAGAUGUUAUCAUGAGUAAGCAUUUUCGCAUGAUUAAAGGUUUACCGGUGUAAGAUGGGGAUGCGUUCCAUUAGAUAGUAGGCGGGGUAACGGCCCACCUAGUCUUCGAUGGAUAGGGGUUCUGAGAGGAAGGUCCCCCACAUUGGAACUGAGACACGGUCCAAACUCCUACGGGAGGCAGCAGUGAGGAAUAUUGGUCAAUGGACGAGAGUCUGAACCAGCCAAGUAGCGUGAAGGAUGAAGGUUCUAUGGAUUGUAAACUUCUUUUAUACGGGAAUAAACGGAUUCACGUGUGGAUUUUUGCAUGUACCGUAUGAAUAAGGAUCGGCUAACUCCGUGCCAGCAGCCGCGGUAAUACGGAGGAUCCGAGCGUUAUCCGGAUUUAUUGGGUUUAAAGGGAGCGUAGAUGGGUUGUUAAGUCAGUUGUGAAAGUUUGCGGCUCAACCGUAAAAUUGCAAUUGAUACUGGCAGUCUUGAGUACAGUUGAGGUAGGCGGAAUUCGUGGUGUAGCGGUGAAAUGCUUAGAUAUCACGAAGAACUCCGAUUGCGAAGGCAGCUUACUAACCUGUAACUGACAUUGAUGCUCGAAAGUGUGGGUAUCAAACAGGAUUAGAUACCCUGGUAGUCCACACGGUAAACGAUGAAUACUCGCUGUAGGCGAUAUACAGUCUGCGGCCAAGCGAAAGCAUUAAGUAUUCCACCUGGGGAGUACGCCGGCAACGGUGAAACUCAAAGGAAUUGACGGGGGCCCGCACAAGCGGAGGAACAUGUGGUUUAAUUCGAUGAUACGCGAGGAACCUUACCCGGGCUUAAAUUGCAACCGAAUAUGGCGGAAACGCUAUAGCUAGCAAUAGCGGUUGUGAAGGUGCUGCAUGGUUGUCGUCAGCUCGUGCCGUGAGGUGUCGGCUUAAGUGCCAUAACGAGCGCAACCCUUGCCGAUAGUUACUAACAGGUUAUGCUGAGGACUCUGUCGGGACUGCCAUCGUAAGAUGUGAGGAAGGUGGGGAUGACGUCAAAUCAGCACGGCCCUUACGUCCGGGGCUACACACGUGUUACAAUGGGGGGUACAGAGGGCUGCUACCACGCAAGUGGAUGCCAAUCCCAAAAACCUCUCUCAGUUCGGAUUGAAGUCUGCAACCCGACUUCAUGAAGCUGGAUUCGCUAGUAAUCGCGCAUCAGCCACGGCGCGGUGAAUACGUUCCCGGGCCUUGUACACACCGCCCGUCAAGCCAUGGGAGCCGGGGGUACCUGAAGUGCGUAAACGCAAGGAGCGCCCUAGGGUAAAACUGGUGACUGGGGCUAA
rnacentral:rRNA from 1 species